UGUUUCCCUGCUGGUUGUAGCGCACUCCUGCAAAACAAGGCGGACCCAAUAGGGAACAUUAAUGUCACCAGGGUCCAUGAAUACUAACUCAGCUCCCCAUUUUUUUAAGGAUGAAUGAUAAAAAGACAAAGUUGCCUUCUCCUCCUGGCUAGCCAUGAGAAAUAUCAGCUUUCUCUAGGGGACGAUGGCAUGACCUCUAUUUGAAUUCUGGAAUGUAAACUCCAAGAGGGCAAGACAUUUUUAUCCAUUUUGUUUUGUUCACUGCUGUGUCCCAGCACCUUCGCAUUUCAUAGCCACUCAACACAUCUUUGUCAAUGAAUGUAUUUGGCUGAUUGUUGCUUCAGCAUUGUCUUUUCAGGAUUUAGGGUCUUCUCUUUCUGGCUGGAAUAUUUUAUUGUAAAAAUGCCUUCUAGAAAUGUUUCCCUGGCAUCUCUUGGCUUUUAUGAGUUGAUCCAUUUUACAAAGAGGUCUUGUCAGUGACCCUUGUUAAGAACAUAGCAAAAUGCAUCUGUCUCCAUGCACCACCAUCUUGGCUGAGCCCAAGAGGCCCGGGGGCCACAGACAGAAAGGACAGAGAUGGGGCUGCAGCUGGGAGGCUUUGACUCUGGAACGCACAUUCUCCCAUUUGGUUUCUAGGGCAUAGGGGAGGACGCAUCUGCUGGGAGAUGGGGCAGAUAGCACACACAGGCAGGAUAUGGAUGCUCAGUAAGUCACUGCAGUUUGGUCUGCAAGGGACGGGAGAACCAAGCAUGUUUAAGCCUCACUGCUCUGACCUUCCCUUUUGCUUAGGAACCAAAAUGGAGGUGUCUGCUCAGCAGAGGGUAAGUGUUGGGCAGAGGUCAGGUAACUGAAGGAAGCUCAAGGAAGAUGAAGACUCUGAGCCCAGUUUGCAGAGGCCAAGUCCUGCCUGGUGUGCUCAUGAGCUAGUGAAGGACAAGGUUGGGGGUAGCUGGGGUGCCUCACCCAAAGAUCAAAGCUAAGAAAGACAGUGUUCUUGGUUUUUGCUUUGGAAGUGACAAAAAGAUUUGGGGACCUUAUUACUACAACGGGAAGGAGACCAAGUGCCUUACGCACAGGAUCAUCUGAGGACGUGGGCCAACUAUGCGAGUGCCCUUCUCCUUUUGCCAGUUUCCCAAGAUGAACAUGACUCUACCAUGGAUUUGUUUCCCUCUGCCCUGCCUUCUGCCUCAACCAGAGUCCCACCUUCCUGUAGGGCAGCCAGGGCCCCCCCAGGGCCAGCUAGGCAGCCUCCAAUUGACCAAGACCAAGCUCGCUGAGAGGAGAGUUUUCCUUGGAUUCUCUGAAGGACAUUACCCAAAGCUGAUAUGACCUAGAGCUUAAGAGGACUGUGGCGAAAACAAACAAAUGCGAAAGCAGGGUUCUAAUCUUUAAGAGCAACUUGUCUGAAGUGGUUGGAUGCACCCCAAACUGACACCCCCUUACUAGACCUUUUGCACACCUGCAGCCCCCUGACUCUCCCGCUUACCACGCUCAACUUUGUACCUUUUGGCUAAAUUAGGUGUUUUUUAUUUCCCGCUUAAGUUUGUCACUGGGUUCACAGCAGGACCCAUCCAACAGCCUUGCAGAGUUUUUACAGAGGAGAAAGAGAUCUGAAAUAGUGUGUUCUGAAGGCAGACCUGAGUCCAAGUGGAAAAGACAGAGGCAAAUUUCAAAUCAGGAGGAACUGGACUUCACCCUGUUUUCCUCCUGCUUUCUCUGACUCUCUGAUCAGCUAUUUACCUCCCCAAGAUGCUCUGCUCCUGAGAGAGUGGUGAUAAUGCUGGGAGUCAGACACUCAUUUGACAGAACAGAAAGCUGAGGUUCAAAGAGGAGGAGGUGAUUUUCAUGACCUCUUGCUAAGGGUCUCCCAGCAGGGCUGUGGACUGAAGACACAGUGAGGAAGGAAGACAUCUUGAGCUCAGAUGUCAGUACAACCCACAAUUCUACUACUCGGAAAAUAUACAUAGUAGUGAGGCAACCCCUUCACCUGGCUGUAGGGUUCUCAAGAAGAAAGGCAAGCCUCAUUUCAGUAUCCAUCUAUAAAAGGGAACGGAGCACCUAUUUUGUGCCUAUUGUGUAAGCUGAUGUUACACAAAUGGGAGACGCUGUUUGGAGGUUUUCCACCCUUGCCAAACAAGAGCUCAUGGGGCUUCAUUGCUAAGCCAGUCCAACAGGUGCCCACCAGGAAGAAGCACCCUGCUGUGGGGAGGGCAGGAGCUGAGGGCAGGCAUUCUGCCACUCAAAGGCCCUGAAAGUGUUAACCUCCAGCAGUUAUAGGUGUCUCCUUUAUACCCAUUAUAAAUCUGUUUAUUGUGACUGGUCCCACCCAAUCUGCUGAUGUUGUAAAUCUCUAACGGUCCCUAAUAAAGGUGGAAGCCU